rnacentral:rRNA from 1 species
AACGAACGCUGGCGGCAGGCCUAAAACAUGCAAGUCGAACGAUCUAGCAAUAGAUAGUGGCGCACGGGUGAGUAACACGUGGGAAUAUCCCUUUCACUACGGAACAACGUCGGGAAACUGACGCUAAUACCGUAUAAUGCCUCCGGACCAAAGAUUUAUCGGUGAAAGAUUAGCCCGCGUCUGAUUAGCUAGUUGGUGAGGUAACGGCUCACCAAGGCAACGAUCUGUAGCUGGUCUGAGAGGAUGAUCAGCCACACUGGAACUGAGACACGGUCCAGACUCCUACGGGAGGCAUCAGUUAGGAAUAUUGGACAAUGGGUGCAACCUUGAUCCAGCCUUGCCGCGUGUGUGACGAAGGCCUUAGGGUUGUAAAGCACUUUCGUCUACGAAGAUAAUGACAGUAGUAGAAGAAGAAGCUCCGGCUAAAUUCGUGCCAGCAGCCGCAGUAA